rnacentral:lncRNA from 1 species
UAGGUUGCCACCAUUAUUUUGCUCUGGAGGGAGCCCAGUCACUGUGCAUAAAGUACAUAGGAUUAAAUAAGUGGCCACCAAUCACAUCCACUAUAACUAGUCUAUUCAAAUAUCUCUAAUAAAGCUUCUCCCACUGGAAGCAAGCCUAUUCAUAAGCCAUUCGCCACAAAAAUCAUGAGUUAUUUGAAAUCCUAGCUCCCAGUGACUAGAGAGGAUACAUCUUUUUAUCACAAAUAUCCAUGGAAAACCAAUGUGCUCUUCUUAAGCCAUCGA